rnacentral:lncRNA from 1 species
GGAUGGGGUUGUCAUUUCCUGGAACACCUCGUGCGCGACGGGAGGAGGUUCGGCGGGCGUGGCAGCGGGCUUCUUCCGCGUCGCGAGCUUCUUCCGCGGCUUGGUCACGGCGGAGGACUCGCCAGCGACCUUGGAGGCAGCCCCUCGCGGCCCACGGGAGGCCGCCUUCGGCCGGCUCUUCUUGAGGGCGGGCGCGGCGUCGGGGGCAGAAGCCGGGGCGGGGACGGGGGC